rnacentral:rRNA from 1 species
AUUGAACGCUGGCGGCAGGCCUAACACAUGCAAGUCGAACGAGUGGCGGACGGGUGAGUAAUGUCUGGGAAACUGCCCGAUGGAGGGGGAUAACUACUGGAAACGGUAGCUAAUACCGCAUACCAUCGGAUGUGCCCAGAUGGGAUUAGCUAGUAGGUGGGGUAACGGCUCACCUAGGCGAAGAUCCCUAGCUGGGCUGAGAGGAUGACCAGCCACACUGGAAUAGAGACACGGCCCAGACUCCUACGGGAGGCAGCGGUGGGGAAUAUUGCACAAUGGGCGCAAGCAUGAUGCAGCCGUGCCGCGUGUAUGAAGAAGGCCUUCGGGUUGUAAAGUACUUUCAGCGAGGAGGCGUUACUCGCAGAAGAAGCACCGGCUAACUCCGUGCCAGCCGCCGCGGAAUAC